GAGUGAACGCUGGCGGUAGGCCUAACACAUGCAAGUCGAACGGCAGCACAGUAAGAGCUUGCUCUUACGGGUGGCGAGUGGCGGACGGGCGAGGAAUACAUCGGAAUCUACUUUUUCGUGGGGGUUAACGUAGGGAAACUUACGCUAAUACCGCAUACGACCUACGGGUGAAAGCAGGGGAUCUUCGGACCUUGCGCGAUUGAAUGAGCCGAUGUCGGAUUAGCUAGUUGGCGGGGUAAAGGCCCACCAAGGCGACGAUCCGUAGCUGGUCUGAGAGGAUGAUCGGCCACACUGGAACUGAGACACGGUCCAGACUCCUACGGGAGGCAGCAGUGGGGAAUAUUGGACAAUGGGCGCAAGCCUGAUCCAGCCAUACCGCGUGGGUGAAGAAGGCCUUCGGGUUGUAAAGCCCUUUUGUUGGGAAAGAAAAGCAGCAGGUUAAUACCCCGCUGUUCUGACGGUACCCAAAGAAUAAGCACCGGCUAACUUCGUG
rnacentral:rRNA from 1 species